UACGUAGGGGGCAAGCGUUGUCCGGAAUUAUUGGGCGUAAAGAGCGCGUAGGCGGUCCGAUAAGUCGGCUGUGAAAGUCAGGGGCUCAACCCUUGAAAGCCGGCCGAUACUGUCGGACUAGAGUCCGGAAGAGGCAGGUGGAAUUCCUGGUGUAGCGGUGAAAUGCGCAGAUAUCAGGAAGAACACCUAUGGCGAAAGCAGCUCUCUGGGACGGUACUGACGCUGAGACGCGAAAGCGUGGGGAGCGAACAGG
rnacentral:rRNA from 1 species